GUCUAUGGGGACAUUAGAGUCAAUGGGGUCACUGGGGUCAAUGGGGGUCAUUGGGGUCAGUGGGGGCCGUAGGGGUCUUUGUGGCCAUUGAAUUAAAUGGGGUUAUUAGAGUGAAUAGGGUCAUUGGGAUCAAUGGGGUCAUUGGAGUAAAUAGGGUCAUUGAAGUGAAUGGGGUCAUUGGAUUCAAUCGGAUCAUAAGGGUCAAUGUGGUCCCUGCGGCAAUGGGGGUCAUUAGGGUCAAAGGGUGUUAUUGGGGUCAUUGUAGUCAGUGGAAUCAUUGGGGUCAAUUGGUUCAUUGGGGUCAAUUGGCUUAAUGCGGUCAGUGGUGGUUAUUGGAGUCAAUGGAGUCAUUGGGAUUAAUGGGGUCAGUGGGGUCAAUAGGGUCAUAUGAGCUUAAUGGGGUCACUGGGGUCAGUAGGGUUAAUGGGUUGUUGGGGUCUUAUGGGGUCAUGGGUAUCAUUAGGAUCUUUGGGAUCGGUGGGGUCAGUGGGGUCAUGCAGGGUCAUUGGGGUCAAUGGGGCCAUGUGGGAUCGUUGGGAUCAUUGGGGUUAUAAGGUUCAUGUGAUGUCACUGAAG
ensembl:lncRNA